rnacentral:lncRNA from 1 species
UACCCUUUAGGUAUUCUCAAGAUUAAAGUCCUAAGACCACUAAGGAGAAAGAUCUCAUGAAGGCAGUACCUUAUGCUUUAACAGUGAGUAGCCUUAUGUAUGUAAUGUUAUGUACUAGACUAGACAUUUGCUUUGUUGUAGGAAUAGUGAGUAGAUAUCAAUCUAAUCCAGGCAUGAAGUAUUGGACGGUGGUCAAGCAUAUACUCAAGUAUCUUUGGAGAAUGAGAGAUUAUAUGUUGGUGUAUAUUGUGAUGAGUUAUUAACCCUUGGGUACAUGGAUUCGAACUUUAGUACGAUAAAGACUCUAGCAAGUCUAUCUUCGGGUUUGCAUUCACUUUAGGUAGUGAGGUUGUCAAUUGGAGAAAUGUGAAGAAAUCUUAUAUUACUAACUCCACUGUGGACUCCAAGUAUGUUGUUGCUUUUGAAAUAGUAAAUGAAAUCAUUUGGCUUCAAAAGUUCUUGUUGAGACUUGGGAUAGUUUCCUUAGUUGUAUCAUCCCUAGUACUAUUUUGUGAUAACAGUAGGGUAGUUGCAUAGUCUAAAGAACCAAGAAAUCACCGGAAGGGUAAACACAUAGAGAGAAAGUACCACAUGAUACGUGAGAUAGUAAUGAGAGGAGAUAUCGUUGUGGAGAAGAUAGCUUUUACAGAAAACCUUAUGGAUCCCUUCACGAAGACUUUAUCUAUUAGAGUCUUUGAUGGUCAUAGGGAUACCUUAGGUGUUAGAUAUGUUCCUAGCAUGUUUUAAGGAUAGUGGGAGUUUGUUAAUAUAGAACCCCUAGAGAGCAUGAUAUGAAGUAACAUAUUGAGAUUCAUUUAUAAAUUUAUUUAUUUAUUUAUGUUUCUUGUGAUUUCUCUUUAUUAUCCCAUAUACAUUAAUUAGUUAUCUGAACGUACACUCCCAUAUCACUUGCAUUGUACAUGACCUGAUGCAUUAAGAGUUGCCUAGAGGAUACCAAUUAUGGGUUCAUUGCGAGAUGAUAAGUUGUUCAUAAUCAAUUCAUGGAUUUGGGCAAUCCAAUAGAGAUUAUAGUGCACUACCUCCUAAUUGGAAGGAUGACAUGUUUUGGCUGUCAGGAUGGGUUUCCCAUGAUAAGUGUACUAGUGUGUACGGUUACACAUUGGAUAGGACCUAAGAUGAAUCAUGAGUAAGGCUAUCAGUUAUCAUGAUUCACCAUGCUACUAUACUGCAUGGACUCUCAACCUUGAGAAGGUGUUGAGCUUAUGUCAAAGUCAAGUCAACAAGAGGCUUUGACCUAUAGACAUGAUUUGAAAUAUUGGUAAAUACGGAUAUAUCGGUACUUAGAUUUUAUGGAUAUAUCGAAAAUAUCGAUGGAUAUUUUGACAAAAAUAUUGAUAAGGUGAAAAUUAUUCAAAAUUCAUGAAAAUAUUUAGAAAAACUCCAAAAAAUGAUAAAAUAAAUAAAAAUACACAUGUUAAGUUAUUUUCUAAGUGUAAUUGGCAUAGGUAUGAUCAAAGAGAAAAAUAUCGGUAAGUAAGGAUAUAUCGAUUAAUAAUUUAUUAUUUAUCUAAUUAAAUUAAUUUUAAUUUAUAAAAUUUUAGAACUUCAUUUUUUUUAUUUUAGUAUUUUUUUGAAUAAGUUUAUAUUUUUAAUAUUUUAAAAUAAAAACAUUCCAAAUUAAAAGAAUAAAUAUAAAAAAAAAUUAAAAGUGAAGUGAUAGUAAUUUUUUUAAAUAUGAUUAAUGAGAUAAAUGAUGAUACAUUUAAUAUUAAAACUAUAAUUUAUUUAAUUCAAAUGCAUUCAAUAAUGUAAAAUAAAAUGAUGAUGCAUAUAUGACUUUUUAAUAUUUAAUUAUCAUAUAAAUGAUAUUAAAAAAGUAUUAAGAAAAUUAUAAUGAUGGUUUUUAUACAUUUAUUAAUUAAAUAAAUAAAAUUUAUUUAUUUAUUUUUUAAUAAUGUACUUUAACAUAUUUAUUAUCAUCAUAUAUUAACAAGGGAAAACUUGGCCCAAUGAUAACCAAGCUUGAACCCAGGCUUUUUGGCCUGGGUUUGAAUCUGCCUUACAAUAACAUAAAUCGAACCUACCUAACAGCAACGUAAACCUAAAAAAUUUGAAAUUUAAAGGGGCAAGCAACGCGUUGACCAUCAGUUGACUGAUCGAAAAAAUCAAGAAAUUUCCCAAAAAAUUAGUAAAAAAGUCGAUAAAUUCUAAUAUAUCGGCAAUUUUAUCGAUUUUUUGGCGAAAUCGUCGAACCGAUUAUCACUAAUUGAUUUCGUUAUGGCCACCAUCGAUAAGCGGUUUUUAUCUUUGAUAUUUCAAUGAAAAAUCGUGAAUUUUCAAACAUUGCCUAUAGGUGAGCUCCUAAGGUGGUCACAAAUCCUUAUGAAUUGGGUCACUAUUGAUGGAGGAUAGUGGCAACAAGUAUUCUCAAUAAAGGCACCAUGAUAUUUCAUGGGAGUGAAAUAGUGUGUCCCCUUAAGUAAUCUAAAAGACGUGAUCUAAAAAACUAUGGUCAUAGCAUUUCCUUAAUGAAAAUUUGACAUAUACUCCUUAGAGCUUAGAGUAUGUCAAUUGAUCACAUAAUAGGUGGAAUCUAUAACUUAAGGAUUGGAAAGGUAAUCUUGUAGGUGAUAGCACUACCUAGUUAGAUUACGGACACCAGUUCAUGGAGAGUUUACAUGCAAUGAAUAAGAGGUCAUGGACUUGAAUUUUGUCACAUUAUUAUCUACAUAAGGUACUAGAAUACAAUUAAUUCUCUACAAUAGGAUAUUGAAUCAACUUCAAAAUUGGAUUAUGAGGGAGCUAAUAUUUUCUUAUGGGUCCUAAUAGCCCUCUUUUAAGCUCAUAUACCUUGAUAUCAAGAUUUAUGAAAAUAGGAUAAGCUCUAGGUUUACUUAUAUGCAUAAGGGUGUUUUGGUAAUUAUGCAAGAUUAUACAAGAUUAGUGAACGGUAUCACUGGAUUGGGUUAAUUAAUUAAUUGGAAUGUUAGGUUAAUUAAUCAUUUAUAACCUUUUUUUGGGCUAAGAUUAAGUGACUCAAACCCUUAAUGGGCUCAAGUCACUUAAGCCCAAUGGGAAACCCUAUAAAUAUACCUUAAGGGUUAAAGUUUUUAAUUAGUCAUCUUCCACCAUCAAAAGACUAGAGAGAGCUUGAACUUCCACUCUUUCAUAUACCUCACUAUUUGAGUGCCAAGGAUCGAUGUUAAGUCAUUGGGCGGAAGAUUGUGGGUUUACAAGGCUUUCGACUACUUUGAUUUGUGUCUUCAUCGAAAUGAAUUGAUUUGUGAACAUUCAAAUCAAAGGUAAUGCUUUCUAAUGCACACAUCUAGAUCAUUUUCUAUAUUUGCUUUCGUUGCGUAGGAUCUAGAAACCUUAUGGAGUUUUCAUACACCUAACUUGGUCCUGUGAUAGGGAACGAAAAUAUCUAGAAUUCCUUGCAAUUUUAAUAAAAAAUUGUCUUAUGGAGAAAUUUUUUGGAUUUUCAAAUUCUCUUCUUUUACAUUAAAGCUCCAAUUUAGGAAAUAAACAUUUUUUGGAAGAUUUUCAUAGAGAAUAUUAUAUCCAUUAAGGAAUUAUUAAUUUCAAUUAAAAGCUCUUAUUUGCAAACGAUUAUGUGGAAGAGGGCCUUACCAAAGUCCAUGGCCUCCAUUGUCAAGCCCAUCUUGAUUUGGGUUCAUCACCAUCCCAACAGUGGGCUAAGCCCAAUGAAUCAAGGGAUAUGAAAUUUUCAUACGGAUGAGACUACAUGUCUGUAGUGGGAGCAACCACCCCAACGGUAGAGUUCUUCACUUGGUGGCAUUAAUGUCAAGGACGAUUAUUACACACUUAACUAGGAUAUGAAGUGGUUGAAUCCUCCACCAUAGUCUCCUAUUUGCAUAGUCCAAGGGCUAUACUAAAAAGGUAUGUUGAUCUUGCCUUAGAUACCUCCCAUGGUUAAGGCAAGAAGAUCAGUUUGAGAGGGUCUCUAACUAGUAAUAAGGUCAUGACCUACACAUUGUAGGCUUGAUUCUUAUGAUACUAGGAUAGCUUGCAAAAGGAUAUGUAGUCUUAAGAGUUUUAUAUUUUCGCUAAAUUUAUUUACUUGCUUUUGUGGUGAAUGUUUAAUUUAUUAAUGCAUGGUUUACUUUUCUGUUAUAGAAAUCAUGUCAUAUAAUCCAAUUAAUUUCAUUCUCACUAUUAAUAAAUGGAGUGGACCAACUAUGUAGAUUGAAAAAGAAAUUUGGACAUAUUACUUACAUAAGAGAAGCUAAAAUGGGUAACUCAAGAUUUUGCUCCCAAUACCCCUAAUGAACAUUCCACACACUAAGAGAAAGCUAUAUAUAAUAGGUGGCAUAAGGUGGAUCAAAAGGUUGAGUGUAUCAUACUUAGAUCUUUGGAUAACAUGUUGCAAUAGUAGCAUGUGUCUAUGGUCAUAGCUUAUGAUAUUCUUUUGAGUCUACAAGAGAUGUUUGGUGACAAGGGCAAGUUAGUAAGACAUGUCGCUCUUAAGACUAUUAUAAACACUAGGAUGUCAAAAGGAACUCCCAUUAGAGAUCAUAUUAUUAGUAUGAUCAAACUCUUAAACGAGAUGGAGAUCCUUGAAGCAAAAAUUAAUGAGGAAACUAAGGUUGAUAUGGUCUUAAAGACCUCAUCGGCUUCCUUUAGAUAGUGCAAGCUCAACUAUACUAUGAAUAAGCUAGUAAUGAACUUACCAAAAUCUAAUGAGGAGAUUCUCAAAGACCAAAAGGUUAUUCAUAUGGAAGUCAAGGGUUCUUUAACUUCUUCUAACAAGAAGAAGAAGAAGAAAAAGAGGAAGAAUUCUAAAAGCACCAAACAAAAGGGAAAGUUCAAGAAAUACAAUAAGAAGAGCAAAGGGAAUGGAAAGUGCUUCCUUAAUGGAAAGAAAGGUCAUUAGAAAAAUAAGUGCCCAAAAUUCCCAAAGAAAAAACAAGGUAUGCAUCAUUCACUUUUAGUUGAAUUUUGUUUAGUGGGGAUUCCCUCAACUCUUGGUGGAUAGAUUUUGGGGCCACUAAUCAUAUAUGUAAUUCUUUACAACCAAGGAUAAGUCUGAAUGACAAGGACAUGUACUUGACUCUAACCUCUAAUGCAAGGAUAGUUGUGCAAGUAGUAGAAGACUUUACCCUUAUCUUAGAGAAAACUUGUCUUCUAGAACUCAAAGAUUGUCUUCAUAUUCUUGAGUCUAGAAAGAAUUUGAUUUCAAUUUCUAGUUCAUGUAAUCAAAUUAUUCGAUUUUUUCACUAAAUAAGUUAUUAUUGAAAUCAAUGAUUCAUUUAUAUGCUUAAAAGCAUUGGUUGAUAGUCUUUUCAUGUAACUCAAUUAUCAUUAUUGCUAAGUAAUAAGAAUAAUCAUAUCUCACUUAAAAGAAAGGAACCUAACACUAAUCAAACACAAUUUUGACACUUACGCCUAAGUCAUAUUAAUCUAAUUAGGAUCCAAAGAUUGGUUAAGUCUAAAAAAUUGCACUCUUAAAUUCCAAAGGAUCUUCUAGUCUACAAACUAUAUAGAAAAUAAAAUGACUAAGAAGCCCUUUACUGCUAAGGGAUAUUAAGCGAAGGUGUGUUUGGACUUGGUGCAUACUAAAGUGUAUGAAUCUUUUAAUUUGCAUGCACAAGGAGGGUAUAAGUAUUUCACCUUUACAUAUAAUUACUCUAGGUUUGGAUAUAUUUACUUAAUGCAUAGGAAAUUCAAUAUCUUGAUAAAUUGAUGGAAUUUAACGCGGAAUCGAAAAACCAAUUAGGUAAUCAUAUCAAGACGCUUCAAUCUGAUCAAGGUGGUGAGUAUAUGUCCACCCCGUUUGAUUCUAUCCUUAAAGAGUAUGAGAUCAUAUCUCAAUUAAAUGCACAAGGAACUUCAUAGCAAAAUGGAGUAGUAGAAAGAAGAAAUCGAACAUUAAUGGACAUGGAGAGAUCUAAGAUGAGUUUCUCAUCUCUUCCCAUAUCCUUUUAGUGAUAUGCCUUGGACACUACAGCUUGCCUACUUAACCUAGUGCCUUUCAAGUUAGUACAUUUGACUCACAUGGAGAUUCAAACAAGUUGUAAACCUAUUUUGUGACACAUUCAUAUUUAGAGGUGUUCAGCACACGCACUGAAACCAAAUCCACCCAAAAAACUUUCAAGAGUGUGUUAAUUUAAAAUCAUGAUCUUCAAAAUGCUAAAUACCAUAACUGAUAAUUAAUAUUUUAUGUCUAAAAGGAAAGAUGUCUACUUUUAACAGUUUCAAGUCUAAAAUUAAUUUGACACCUACAACCUAAAAUACAGAUGUUAAAACGGUCAGAGUCCAGAAUUGAAGGGUAAUGCUUAUGAAAAGGAACUCAUACAUGUAAGACAGGUGACUCCGCUGCAAAACUAGUUUUGUUUAUUUGUGAUUUAUCCACACGUCCAAGUUCUAUUUCAUUCGUAACAGCACGGAUUUUUGCCAAAGGUCUAAAUUAGGUUCGAGGAUCAGAAUUGUGACAUGCAAAACGAGAAAAACGGUUACCUUAAAUCAAUGUCAAACGGGAAGCAUUUCUAACACUCCAAAUUUUUUUUCAUUCAAAUUUUUUUUCAUUCAAAUAUUAAAAGGCUAAAAACAUUUCCUUAAAUCAUUAUCAAACACACUCUGAGCUCCCCAAUUACGAAAUGGACAACGAAAUUAAACACUGGUCGAAACCGUUGAAAUGAUUUGAUGCUCAACAUAAAUCGGAAGGAACAGUCUACUAGGCAUAUGCCCAAUCAAAUCAGGCUGUCUUGCUGUCAGCCAAGCUUCUCAUUGUUUCCCAAUUUCCAUAACCAUCCAGGAUAGUUUGCCAUUCACGUUUCUCUCCUUUUAUCCAUUGAUGCAAACAAAAAAGAUUCAACCAACCAAUAAAUAAAUAAAACCAACAAACAGAUGAAAGGCACCAAAAAAAAGUCAUUCCGCAAAAUACCUCUUUGAGUCUCCCACCAACGGCCGGACUUGCUGAGAGUAAAGAUGAUUAUGAGCCCAGAAGGAAGGUGAUCACAAAUACAUACCAUUCUUUUAAGACAUAACUCACUGCAGAGGUUGGAAUGAAAAAGUAAAAUUCACAUUUAAAGUUUAAUAUAUAAGGAAUUUUUCUGUCUGACAGUAUGGUUCAAAAACAUUUGCAACAUUGUUAAAACCAGUGCAGCAAGCAUGCACGAUUCUUUGAAAUAUAUCCAAAAGUAGGUUUCAAUAUUUAAUCAAAUUUACAAUCAUAUAUAUACUGGUUUCCAUGUCCAAAGAAAAGAGCUCAUUGUCUCUCCAAUUCUUUAUUCUCAAAUCAGAUCACAUUUACUAACGCUCUUUCCAUAUGAUAUAAAAAUAUCUAUUGGUCUGAAGAGGGAGACAUAGCAUUACAUCCACAGCAUCUCUCAUAUCUGAAAAGGGAGUUCCCCACCUGUCAUCAAAGAAGCACCUUUCAUGAUGUUAGAAAAUUCAUUGACACAUGGAAAUUUUCUCCGUAAAAGAAAUAAGAACGGAAGCUAUCUGAAUAAUGGUAACAAUGAAAAAUUCAAGAUAUAAAAUUUAAGUAGACUAUCAUUUUUUUUGCAGGUACAAUAAUUUUCAGUAUGCUACAAACUUGAUUAUCAUUUUGUGCCUAUAAUUACACCUUUCAUAUGCUAUACCCAUCUAACAGGUGUUUGUAUUUGCAAAAAAACAAGGAAGUUUCAUGUACUCAAUUGUUGUUUGGCAGAGAGAUUUGGAUCCAUCCUAGUCAAUGAGAAUCCUAGAGAAGGCACUUAGAACCAAUAAAACAAAUGGGUCACUCUGGCCAUGACCUUUAGGAAAGUAGGAACCAUGAACACAACUAUCUAUACAAAUUGAAAUAGAGAAAUCUCACAAAAUCCAAAUCAGAUCCCUUUAUAAAUUGUAACCAUAACUUCCACUCAGCAGUGACUCAGACCAUGGAAGGAAAUGAAUGGAGCAGUUGUCGCACAAGGAGAAUUCGGUUGUCUAUCCUACUUUCAGGGUGAACCCUGGGGCAAAAGAUUUUUGACAUGUCAGAAGGUUCCCUUGUAGAUGUGGCAGAUGAUGUGGAUGAACUGUAUGACAGGGCUGACAACCAAAUGAAGAAAGAAAGCUCACUUAGCUUAUAAAUGCCAAAUUUUGUUGAAAAUUUGACUCACAGGAUUUCCUUAGUGUCUUCAUACUCUGGACAGGGGUUGAUGUUCAUCACAUGAAGGUCAAAAGAUAAGUUGUAUUUUCCAAUAUGAAUCCUGUUGGAAAACCUCAAAGUUGAUGAAAGGACAUUAAAAGCAAGCUUUUCAGACAUAUGACACCCUCCUAUUAGCCAGUUUAUGAUGGAUGAAGUGAAAGUAGCCAGUUUAUGAUGGAUGAAGUGAAAGUGGCCAGUUUAUGAUCAGCAAAAUCGUAUUUGGGAGAGUGAUAUUAAGGAAUUUACAAACAAAUUCAAGGAGCUGGUGACUCAGCUUAAAGGUCUGUCUAAAUUGUGGCUUGGAAUCAAAUUCAUAUAAAUAAGGUGAUCUAAUAUCCUCAAUGCAUUGAAGAAUGAAAAGAGUUAGAAGGCCCCACUUAGCUUCCACAUGGUGAUGAUACGUCAAUUGAGUAUGGGAGACUAAUCCUCUAACUAGUCAACAUUCAUAUAUAGAUAUAGAUAUAUGAGUUCAUGGUCCACAGAAUAAAGAAGCAUAUAGCAUAUCAAUGAACAAGGAGAAACUUGCAUUUUGAUGUUGAAACAAAGGGGAGAACAGAAACAGAAAACAAUGGCACAAAUCAGUGUCCAAGUUAGUUGACCCCUUCACCUUUCCUGCUGAAGGAACACAGUAGCCUUCCCUUAGUAAGCACUCUAUUCCACCUAAGCAAGAAGAAUGAUUAGAGAAAUAGUGUUAUUUUUCAGAUCUUGGUUCUUGAGAAUGAAGCUUACAUGCAUAUUCAGCAUCAAUGUGGUGCCAUGGACCAAUAGCAUUUCUGUUCCACUAACAAAUACGGAUGUUUGGUUUCAGUACAUAGUCCUUAAGACAAUUUGUUUGAUGUUUAGCUUGGUUCACCAUCAUCCUUGGUUAUAUGAAAUAGAUUGGUGGGAAGGCUAGCAUGCUAUUUUGCAUUCAACAAGAAAGUUGUUAGCAAGCCUAUCUUUGGAGAAUAUGGAGAGAUAUAAAAGGAAAAGCCAAGAAUGUAUUGAGAACCAGAAAAAUCCUUCCCAACUUAUUGCUAGGAAGCAAUUUGAAGUGAAAAUGAGAGUUGAAGUUCAGAAUGUAGGGCUAACCAAAGCAAAGAUGCAGCAGUAUCUUUCUGCAUUAAGUAUCCUAUAGAAGGGUCUGAAUUGUCCACCAAAUCUUCAGAUGUUGCAUCAACAAACUCACCAAUUGAUCUAUCCUUAAAUGUCAUGUCCAUUACAAUACUGGCUUGGUCUUUUGGGUUAUCAACCACUGAUAUUAAUGGUGGAAUUUGAGUGCUUUCCAGUAAGGUGCACCACUUGAACUAGUUUUGGUCUGUGGUGCCAUUAUAAAUAUGGAUGGGAUUCAAUAAGGAUGAUAUUUGGUAUUUUAGAAAAAGAAUGCUGGGUAGGGCAUGGGAGCUGAUGACUGCAGAAAGGCCUUGAUACACAUAGAGAGGUCACUACUAGCCAAGUGGGCCUAGUGCUAAAGAUGAAGAAAACUGAGAUCAUGACACGUUUCACAGCUAAACAGUGAAUUGGACAUGCUUUAUCCUACCCUUUGCUUGUCUCACACAUGUAGCCUCGUAUAUAUAGCCCUACCUUUUAUGAAAAAUGGUUCUCCAUUUUUUUCUUUAAUAAUAGAAACAGUUCCACUCUCCCCUGUCCCCUUCCACUGUUCACAUAUCAGGCAAUAUCAGCAUUUGGCAACCCACUAGGGCAAUGACCAUCCAAGAUAGCAUUUAUGCCCAUUUCACCCCAAAAAUACUUGUUCUAGGUGGAGCAAUCUCUAUCACGAUCAGUAGACAAAAGAAAAAUGUCCUCCAGAUCAGAGUAGAAUUACUAGAUUUCUAUGUGCAAUUCCCCAAGCACCCCAAAACUCAUACAUUGCAUUUUAUUCUUAACCAAAUCUUACGUCUUCGAGCUACAAAUGAAAAGAAAUAUUUGACAUACACACCAACAGAAGAUGACUAUGAGCUAGAAAUGUCACAUAGGUUUCCACCACCUACAUAUUAAAUUUAAUUGAGCCUACAAAUUAAGUAAAAAAAGUUAAGGAUAUAAAAUUAUGUACAGGCACACUCAAAACACUUAGUGUUCAUAGGGUAGAAAUCAC